rnacentral:rRNA from 1 species
CUAAGAAUCUUCCGCAAUGGGCGAAAGCCUGACGGAGCGACGUUGCGUGGACGACGAAGGUCGAGAGAUUGUAAAGUCCUUUUCUGUGAGAGGAAUAAGGCGGGGAGUGGAACGCCCUGCUGAUGACGUUAACACAGGAAUAAGCUCCGGCAAAUUACGUGCCAGCAGCCGCGGUAAUACGUAAGGAGCGAGCGUUGUUCGGAUUUAUUGGGCGUAAAGGGCGCGCAGGCGGUUUUACAAGUCUGUAAUCAAAUCCCCGGGCUUAACUCGGGACCGGUUAUGGAAACUGUAAAACUAGAAUCCUUUAGGGGAAGCUGGAAUUCCUGGUGUAGGGGUGGAAUCUGUUGAUAUCAGGAAGAACACCAAAGGCGAAGGCAGGCUUCUGGGGAGUGAUUGACGCUGAGGCGCGAAAGUGUAGGGAGCAAACAG